rnacentral:lncRNA from 1 species
CUUCUCUGGAGGAAGCAACCCUGCACAGAGGGAAAGAAGAAUCUCAACAUACAGUCCUCAGCAGCUUUAGCAUGGGCAACAAAUUAAGUCUCUGUAAAAGGCCCAAAGGACAGGGUUUGGUGAGAUUCUGGAGAGCUGGAAACAUGGAGGUUGACAGGAAUGUAAAGAAGAACUCAUUUACAUGCCAGGAGGGUGGAACACCCCAAUUCCAUGAGGAUAACUGCUCCUGUACUCCAGACCUCACCCCAUGUGUCUCUUCAUCUGGCUGGUUAUUUGUCCUUUAAGAUCUCCUUACUCAACCAGUAAAUGUGUCUUUACAUUGUUUUAGUCUUGAACUAGAAGAUGAAAGCAUCAAAUAAAGAAAUAUACUGUGGGUAUAUGGAUUACAAAAAAAGUGCUGGAUGUUCCAUGCCCUCAAACAUUGGACUCCAAGCUCUUCAGCUUUGGGACUUCAACUGGCUUCCUUGCUCCUCGGCUUACAGAUGGCCUAUUGUGGGACCCUGUGAUCGUCCCAAAUCUGCUCUUCUGACUCUGCAUCAGUGCAUGUCAAUACCAUCCAAGUUAUGACUCAAGAUGGAAACAAGAAAGUCAUCCUUCACAUUUGCCUGCCCCUUAAUUUUCACUGAGUCUCUUAAAGAUUAUUCCUGAAAUAUCUCUCAAAUUUGUCUUUUCUGAUUACAACCUUACUGACGCUGCAGUAAGUUAGAAACUCAACAUCUGUAGUCUAAACCGUUAAAAUAGCUGCUUGACUUUUCCGGUCUCUGUGUAGCUCUAUUCUCUCCAUUUUCAUUAAGUUUCUUUGCAAAACACAGACAUGAUACUGCCAAAGUUUCGAACAAAUACCUUUAGUGGCACUGAGUUAUCUACUGUUAAAUCGCCAGACACCUCAAGAGAGCAUUCAAGGUUCAUGAUCUUGAACCAAUUUACUUUUGGGCAUUCUCCAAAAGAAUUCCCUUGGUAGUAAAUAGUAUCCAUUGCUGAGGCUCUUGGCAACAUUUGGUGGGACAAAGGAUGGGCAAUGGGCAACAGGAAGGGCAUUCUAAACCUUCUCUCCCGACCCCCCCUCCACUUUUUUAGGGAUGGUAGAUUUAGAGUUGGGAUAGAGAAAGAAAAGAGAGAAAACUAGCCAUUGAAAUUUGAUCUCUCUCUGUGCCUUGUAAAGGAAGCCUGGUCCCCAGGCAAAAAGGGGUUUAUUUCAAGAAGGAGCAGUUACCAUCUUAGUUUCAAAUUAAACUAUAAACUAAAUUUCUCCUAAAGUGAGUUCAGCCUGUGCCCAGGAAUAAACAAGGAUAGUCUGGAGGUUAGAGGCAAGAUGGGGUGGGUUAGAUCAGAUCUCUUUCACUCCCAUAAUUUUGUCACUGUUAUAGUUUUUGCAAAGGUGUUUUCACAAAGCCUGCGAGGUGGUUGAGAAACAGAAAGAAGGCCAAUGGGCAUCUGAACUGCAUAGAAUAGUCAGUUUUAUUGCUUAAAAUGUAUUUGCAAGAGUAAGU